rnacentral:rRNA from 1 species
UAACACGUGGUAACCUGCCUUAUAGUGGGGGAGUAGCCUUUCGAAAGGAAGAUUAAUACCGCAUAAGAUUGUAGUAUCGCAUGAUAUAGCAAUUAAAGGAGCAAUUCGCUAUAAGAUGGACCCGCGCGCAUUAGCUAGUUGGUGAGGUAAUGGCUCACCAAGGCGACGAUGCGUAGUCGACCUGAGAGGGUGAUCGGCCACAUUGGGACUGAGACACGGCCCAGACUCCUACGGGAGGCAGCAUG